GUUAUACUCCCUUCGUCUCAAAAUUCUUGUCUUAGAUUCGUCUAAAUACGAAUGUACCAAGUCACAUUUUAGUACUAGUAUUAGAUACAUCUGUAUCUAGACAAAUCUAAGACAAGAAUUUUGGUACGAAGGAAGUACAUA
rfam:Triticum aestivum genome assembly, contig: Triticum_aestivum_CS42_TGACv1_scaffold_423385_5BS